rnacentral:rRNA from 1 species
GACGAACGCUGGCGGCGUGCUUAACACAUGCAAGUCGAACGGAAAGGCCCUGCCUUUGUGGGGUGCUCGAGUGGCGAACGGGUGAGUAACACGUGAGUAACCUGCCCUUGACUUUGGGAUAACUUCAGGAAACUGGGGCUAAUACCGGAUAGGAGCUCCUGCUGCAUGGUGGGGGUUGGAAAGUUUCGGCGGUUGGGGAUGGACUCGCGGCUCAUCAGCUUGUUGGUGGGGUAGUGGCUUACCAAGGCUUUGACGGGUAGCCGGCCUGAGAGGGUGACCGGCCACAUUGGGACUGAGAUACGGCCCAGACUCCUACGGGAGGCAGCAGUGGGGAAUAUUGCACAAUGGGCGGAAGCCUGAUGCAGCAACGCCGCGUGCGGGAUGACGGCCUUCGGGUUGUAAACCGCUUUCGCCUGUGACGAAGCGUGAGUGACGGUAAUGGGUAAAGAAGCACCGGCUAACUACGUG